UAAUACAGAGGUCCCAAGCGUUGUUCGGAUUCACUGGGCGUAAAGGGUGCGUAGGUGGCUGGGUAAGUUCGAUGUGAAAUCUCCGAGCUCAACUCGGAAAUGGCAUUGAAUACUAUUCGGCUUGAGGGUCGGAGGGGAGACUGGAAUUCUCGGUGUAGCAGUGAAAUGCGUAGAUAUCGAGAGGAACACCAGUGGCGAAGGCGAGUCUCUGGACGACUCCUGACACUGAGGCACGAAAGCUAGGGGAGCAAACAGGA
rnacentral:rRNA from 1 species